rnacentral:rRNA from 1 species
GACGAACGCUGGCGGCGUGCCUAAUACAUGCAAGUAGAACGCUGAAGAGAGGAGCUUGCUCUUCUUGGAUGAGUUGCGAACGGGUGAGUAACGCGUAGGUAACCUGCCUUGUAGCGGGGGAUAACUAUUGGAAACGAUAGCUAAUACCGCAUAACAAUGGAUGACACAUGUCAUUUAUUUGAAAGGGGCAAUUGCUCCACUACAAGAUGGACCUGCGUUGUAUUAGCUAGUAGGUGAGGUAAUGGCUCACCUAGGCGACGAUACAUAGCCGACCUGAGAGGGUGAUCGGCCACACUGGGACUGAGACACGGCCCAGACUCCUACGGGAGGCAGCAGUAGGGAAUCUUCGGCAAUGGGGGCAACCCUGACCGAGCAACGCCGCGUGAGUGAAGAAGGUUUUCGGAUCGUAAAGCUCUGUUGUAAGUCAAGAACGGGUGUGAGAGUGGAAAGUUCACACU